ACGGAAGGCAGCAGUGGGGAAUAUUGGGCAAUGGGGGAAACCCUGACCCAGCAACGCCGCGUGAGGGAAGAAGGCUUUCGGGUUGUAAACCUCUUUUAGUAGGGACGAACAAAUGACGGUACCUACAGAAAAAGCAACGGCUAACUACGUGCCAGCAGCCGCGGUAAUACGUAGGUUGCAAGCGUUGUCCGGAUUUACUGGGUGUAAAGGGCGUGUAGGCGGAGAGGCAAGUCAGAUGUGAAAUCCUGGGGCUCAACCCCAGAACUGCAUUUGAAACUGUCUCCCUUGAGUAUCGGAGAGGCAAGCGGAAUUCCUAGUGUAGCGGUGAAAUGCGUAGAUAUUAGGAGGAACACCAGUGGCGAAGGCGGCUUGCUGGACGACAACUGACGCUGAGGCGCGAAAGCGUGGGGAGCAAACAGGAUUAGAUACCCUGGUA
rnacentral:rRNA from 1 species